rnacentral:rRNA from 1 species
GGGGGCCCGCAAGCGGAGGAGCAUGUGGUUUAAUUCAAAGCACCGCGCACAACCUUACCAGGGCUUGACAUGGGAGGGCCGUGUCCAGAGAUGGGCAUUUCCGCAAGGACCCUCUGCACAGGUGCUGCAUGGCUGUCGCCAGCUCGUGUCGAGAGAUGUUGGGUUAAGUCCCGCAACGAGCGCAACCCUCUCCUUCAGUUGCCAUCGGGUUUGGCGGGGCACUCUGAAGGAACUGCCGGUGACAAGCCGGAGGAAGGUGGGGAUGACCUCAAGUCCUCAUGGCCCUUAUGUCCUGGGCUACACACGUGCUACAAUGGCGGUGACAGCGGGAUGCCAUCUCGCAAGGCCGAGCCUAUCCCAAAAAGCCGUCUCACUUCACAUAGCACUCUGCCACUCCGGUGCAUGAAGGUGGAAUCGCUAUUAAUCGCGGAUCAUCAUGCCGCGGUGAAUACCUUCCCGGGCCUUGUACACACC